GCAAGUCACGAUGAUGGACACCACUCCACUCUCUGGGCUCUACCACUCUCUGGCAAGUCACGACAACAGACACCACUCCACUCUCCUUAACAAACUCCACGUGGCCCUGAACGACCCCUGACGCCACUACUCUCCAUAACAAACUUUGCGUGGCUCAGAACAGCCCGCUACCUGGCGGUUACAGACAUCGCUGUCAAUCGGUUACGCUCUCUAUCUAUAAAAAGGGGAUCCCCAGAUACGUUCUUCUCUAAGCUCUGAACUCUAUCUCAAAACUCUGCUAAAAUUUUUCUUCGAGCACUCCAUUUUUGUUGAAGUAGAGUACUGACUUUAGCAUCGGAGGAUCUUGCCGGAGCACCCCCAACUCUGGUUUAGACUUCUCUUGCAGGUCCCGACGGUGGCUGUGGUCAUCCCGACUCCAACUUCUCCGGCUUCGGUGAAAUUCUACACCAAUAGGAACCCUCACCUAAUAGUCAUUGGGCCCAACCCC
rnacentral:lncRNA from 1 species